AGAGUUUGAUCCUGGCUCAGAUUGAACGCUGGCAGUAUGCUUAACACAUGCAAGUCGAACGCGAAAGAGACCUUCGGGUUUGCUGACGAGUGGCGGACGGGUGAGUAACGCGUAAGAAUCUGCCUAGUAGUGGGGGAUAACUACCGGAAACGGUGGCUAAUACCGCAUACGCCCUACGGGGGAAAGUGGGGGACCUUCGGGCCUCACGCUAUUAGAUGAGCUUGCGUAGGAUUAGCUAGUUGGUGAGGUAAUGGCUCACCAAGGCGACGAUCCUUAGCUGGUUUGAGAGAACGAUCAGCCACACUGGGACUGAGACACGGCCCAGACUCCUACGGGAGGCAGCAGUGGGGAAUAUUGGACAAUGGGGGCAACCCUGAUCCAGCAAUACCGCGUGUGUGAAGAAGGCCUGAGGGUUGUAAAGCACUUUCAAUUGUGAAGAAAAGCCUGAGGUUAAUAGCCUCGAGUCUUGACGUUAACUUUAGAAGAAGCACCGGCUAACUCUGUGCCAGCAGCCGCGGUAAUACAGAGGGUGCGAGCGUUAAUCGGAAUUACUGGGCGUAAAGCGUACGUAGGUGGUUUAUUUAAGUCGGAUGUGAAAGCCCCGGGCUCAACCUGGAAACUGCAUUCGAUACUGGGUAGCUAGAGUAUAGAAGAGGCAAGUGGAAUUCCGGGUGUAGCGGUGAAAUGCGUAGAUAUCCGGAGGAACAUCAGUGGCGAAGGCGACUUGCUGGUCUAAUACUGACGCUGAGGAGCGAAAGCGUGGGGAGCAAACGGGAUUAGAUACCCCGGUAGUCCACGCCGUAAACGAUGUCAACUAGUAGCCGUUGGGGGGCUUGUCCCUUUAGUGGCGCAGCUAACGCGAUAAGUUGACCGCCUGGGGAGUACGGCCGCAAGGUUAAAACUCAAAUGAAUUGACGGGGGCCCGCACAGGCGGCGGAGCAUGUGGUUUAAUUCGAUGCAACGCGCGAAGAACCUAACCAGGUCUUGACAUCCCGAGAAUUUACUAGAGAUAGUUUAGUGCCUUCGGGAGCUCGGUGACAGGUGCUGCAGGGCUGUCGUCAGCUCGUGUCGUGAGAUGUUGGGUUAAGUCCCGUAACGAGCGCAACCCUUGUCCUUAGUUGCCAGCAUGAUGUAAUGGUGGGAACUCUAAGGAGACUGCCGGUGACAAACCGGAGGAAGGUGGGGACGACGUCAAGUCAUCAUGGCCCUUACGACCUGGGCUACACACGUGCUACAAUGGUCGGUACAGAGGGUUGCCAAGCCGCGAGGUGGAGCUAAUCCCAGAAAACCGAUCGUAGUCCGGAUUGGAGUCUGCAACUCGACUCCAUGAAGUCGGAAUCGCUAGUAAUCGCGAAUCAGAAUGUCGCGGUGAAUACGUUCCCGGGCCUUGUACACACCGCCCGUCACACCAUGGGAGUGGGUUGCAAAAGAAGUGGUAGACUAACCUUCGGGAGGUCGCUCACCACUUUGUGAUUCAUGACUGGGGUGAAGUCGUAACAAGGUAGCC
rnacentral:rRNA from 1 species